rnacentral:lncRNA from 1 species
GAGGUGCAGCUGCUCUUUAGUUGAUGUUCUGUCGAUGUUCCUGUUCGAUAAGCUACCUGGGGUCCUCUACAGUGGGCCGAGGGCUGCCCGUCCCCGUCGGCCCCGGGAUGCUUUGUUAGCAGGACGUGUGAGGCCAGGAGUGGUGGGGUAGGGGUUGGACGCUCAGGCCUGCCGCCUGUGGGCUGGCCCUCGAACUUCCCCGGGCCUCAGCCUCCUCGUCUGUGAAAUGGGGUCACACGAGCUGCCAGGCAGGCCACAGCGUUCACCCGGCAGCUCAAGCCCAGCCACAACCACACUGGCUGCUCUUCUCAAUGAAGCAAAGUAUUUAGGUGUUCACCACGUGGCUGUGGGGCCUUUCCGGCAGCUCCUGGCCCCGCAGGCCUGGGCUCAGCACUUCCUGGCAGCCGGGGCCCCUUUCCGGUGCUCCUGUCCUGGAGGGUCCCUCUGUGUGUCCUGCGGGGCCUCCGUCCAGUGCCGCGCCGCGUGCUGCCUCCUCAGUUCACCCGCACUGACCCUCGGGUGUGGCCCCUCUGAUGCGAGUGCACGACCUGCUCAACGUCCCAGUAAGCUCAUGGCCCAGCCGGGGAGCCAAAGGGAGGCCGGGACGCCAAGCUCCAAGCCUGGUCAGAGGGAGGGCGGGGCAGGGUCUGAGUGACAAGUGUGUGGGCAUCGUUGUGCGGCCUCACCACCGCUCUGACACCUCCUGGCUCUCUGGACAUGACCCGUGUCCACUACGUGGCCCAGCCGAGGACAGGGCUGGUCACUCCUCCAUCCCAGGGCUCACUCAGCCAAUGCUUAUUGAUUAGUAUAGACUGGAAAACCGAGGUGGGAGAGGUGACAGGAGCUGACACGGGCCCAGGACGCACAGAUCACCCCCGUCCAGCCGGGAGCUGACACAGGCCCAGGACGCACAGAUCACUCCCGUCCAGCCGGGAGCUGACACAGGCCCAGGACGCACAGAUCACCCCCGUCCAGCCGGGAGCUGACACAGGCCCAGGACGCACAGAUCACUCCCGUCCAGCCGGGGGCUGACACGGGCCCAGGACGCACAGAUCUCUCCCGUCCAGCCGGGGGCUGACACGGGCCCAGGACGCACAGUUCACUCCCGUCCAGCCGGGGGCUGACACGGGCCCAGGACGCACAGAUCACUCCCGUCCAGCCGGGGGCUGACACGGGCCCAGGACGCACAGUUCACUCCCAUCCAGCCGGGGGCUGACACGGGCCCAGGACGGACAGAUCACUCUGGUCCAGCCCAAACCCAGUGGCAUGGAUGGGACUUGCUCAGAACCUGUUAGUGGCUCAGACAGGACAUAAAGUGAGGGUUCCCCAGUGCUCCCCACUGCACAGAGGCUGGCCCCUUCUGGGGUCGUCACCAUGGGUGGUGGUGGUGUUUGGAGGCAUGGUUGAGGGGAGCAUGUGACUUUGUUGUCCAGAGCUGGGCAGGUGAACAGGUGGAGAAUGGGGGGAGGGGCUGGGGUCGCUGCAUGAACCCUGCCAUGAAUGUGCACAGUCCGUGCUUGCUGAGUGCAUGGAUGAAAAGUGAAGGACACCCAGCCCAGGACAGCAACGCCCAGCCCAGGACAGCAACGGCCAGCCCAGGACAGCAACGGCCAGCCCAGGACAGCAACAGCCAGCCAGGGCUGCCGUUGGGGUCUGAGGGAGGCGCGCUCCCUCUCAGAGUGGGGGCUUGGCUUCGAAUCCGGUACCUGAAGCAGCAGGAGGUGCCUCGGCUGUGGCUGUGCAGACCCCUCCUGGGGCCUUGGCUGAAGGCCUUGGGAGCCACAGGAAAAGCAAUUCUGGCCAAGAGGACUGUCCAGCAGUCAGCCCAGGGUGUCCUGCAGAGACUCCUGGGUGAAUCCUGCCAGGCAGGGACCUGGUCGAAGGAUUUUCUGUUCUGCUGAUAAAAAUUCAUGUUUCUCUCCACUGUGGCCUCACCGGUUCCAAAGGCAAACAGAUUGCCCAAUGGGCUGGGUGGGUGUGGACCCAGCAGAGGCCUGGGCCUGACCAGACCUGGACAAGGACCCCUUUGUGUCCACACUCGGUGUGGGCCGGCCUCCAAGCCCGCUCCUCACCCUGGGUCUGGCUGGGCAAAGCUGCCUGGCACUCAGGAGCUCCUGCUGACUCCCUGGGGGAAGCCAAGCCAAGGCCUCUUGCAGGAAGGUUGAUCCACCUCAUUGGAAGCUGCCGGGACCCCCACAUGCCGCCCUCGCUGUGGUGGGGUCCCUGUGC